CUAAGGUUUCCUGUCCAACGUUAAUCGGGGCAGGGUAAGCCGACCCCUAAGGCGAGGCUGUAAAGCGUAGUCGAUGGAAAACAGGUUAAUAUUCCUGUGCUUGAUUUUACUGCGAAGGGGGGACGAAGAAGGUUAGGUUAUCCAGGUGACGGUAAUCCUGGUUUAAAUGUGUAGGUAUGAUAAUUAGGCAAAUCCGAUUAUCUUUAAUCUGAGGCAUGAUGACGAGUCAUUAAGGUGAUGAAGUAACUAAUACCACGCUUCCAAGAAAAUCCUCUAAGCAUCAGGUAAAAUUAAAUCGUACCCUAAACCGACACAGGUAGUUAGGUAGAGAAUACUAAGGCGCUUGAGAGAACCCAGGUGAAGGAACUAGGCAAAAUAGUGCCGUAACUUCGGGAGAAGGCACGCUAGUUUUAAGUGAAAGGAUUUUACUCCUAUAGCUGAAGCUAGUCGAAGAUACCAGCUGGCUGCAACUGUUUAUUAAAA
rnacentral:ncRNA from 1 species